UACGUAGGGUGCAAGCGUUAAUCGGAAUUACUGGGCGUAAAGCGUGCGCAGGCGGUAAUGUAAGACAGUUGUGAAAUCCCCGGGCUCAACCUGGGAACUGCAUCUGUGACUGCAUUGCUGGAGUACGGCAGAGGGGGAUGGAAUUCCGCGUGUAGCAGUGAAAUGCGUAGAUAUGCGGAGGAACACCGAUGGCGAAGGCAAUCCCCUGGGCCUGUACUGACGCUCAUGCACGAAAGCGUGGGAGCAACAGG
rnacentral:rRNA from 1 species